CCAAUAGCGUAUAUUAAAGUUGUUGCAGUUAAAAAGCUCGUAGUUGAAUUUCGGGGUUAGCAGGUCGGUCGUGCCAUCGGUAUGAACUGGUCUCGCUGAUCCCUCCCUCUUGACGAACUGUGAUGCCAUUAAUUUGGUGUCGCAGGGAAUCAGGACUGUUACUUUGAAAAAAUUAGAGUGUUUAAAGCAGGCUCACGCUUGAAUACAUUAGCAUGGAAUAAUGAAAUAGGACGUUUGAUCCUAUUUUGUUGGUUUCUAGGAUUGACGUAAUGAUUAAUAGGGAUAGUUGGGGGCAUUAGUAUUCAAUUGUCAGAGGUGAAAUUCUUGGAUUUAUUGAAGACUAACUACUGCGAAAGCAUUUGCCAAGGAUGUUUUCAUUAAUCAAGAACGAAAGUUAGGGGAUCGAAGACGAUCAGAUACCGUCGUAGUCUUAACCAUAAACUAUGCCGACUAGGGAUCGGAUGAUGUCAAUUUUUUAAUGACUCAUUCGGCGCCUUACG
rnacentral:rRNA from 1 species